UGCGGUCAUGACUUACAGCCACAGUAAUGAAAAGCAGGAGCUGUUGGCGGCAGAUAAGACGGGUUUGCUGAGUCAGCAGAAAAUGAAGCUCAGCCCAGGCGGGAAAAACGGGUAAAAGGAGAAAAAGUUCUGCUGUCAGACAAAAUAUGUCAAGUUUGGACUUAGAGUCCUGAUUCUACACAGUACAAGACGGGCAUAAAAUCACGAAAAGCAGGUCGAUGUAUCUGCAGACAAAAGUGUGAUUUUCAAAGUAAAGUUCCAGUUUGUUCAAUCGGAUCCUUUAAUAUUAAUGUCCCCUUUUUAAUCAUAAUUUUAUACAAAUACAUAAACAAAGGCGUGUUCUAUCCUUUUUUAAUGUAAGACUCCACUUUUCCCGCUCAUUUGGCUCACUUCCUGUGUCCAGCAACAAUAACAGGAAGUAGGAAAAAGGUGCUGGUGAAACAAGGGGGUAAAAGGUCAAAGGAAACAGGAAGUGGCUGAAGGUGGUGGCCAGAGUAAAUCUUUGAUGCGGUUACCGUGAAACAUGAAGCAGAUUUUGGCCUGAACAAAAGCCGGCGAGGGCCGAAUAUUCACGGCUGAUCUGACAGACGAACCAUCCGAAAGCAAAGCAGUAAAAUGUCUUACAGAUUCAAAAACGCUGCAGUUUUUGUGCAUCUUUGCUGUUUAAAGAACGCCUGCGAUUGAUCGGACCGACCAGAACGUGAAUGACGAACCUGCUUGACCCGGUCCGGGUUGACGGUGGUCUGCGGCUGCAGGAUGCUGACCGGCUCUGUCUUCUGGGUGCUCUGAGGCAUCUCCCUCACCUUCUCGGCGAUGAAGUCAUGGACGCCGUUCAGCGCCUCCACAGUCCCUUGAAUCAGACACACCCGCUCUGUCGUUCCUGCACACAAACCGGGGAGUCCAGGUGAAUUCGGGGCCUCCAGAGGCCUUCAUUCAUCUUCCAGAUGACAGAGUUAAAGGGCAGCAGAACACAGGAACAAUAAAGAUUAAAUCAUCAGGAAGAGAAGCACAGAUGAAAGCAAA